AGUGAACGCUGGCGGUAGGCCUAACACAUGCAAGUCGAACGGCAGCACAGUAAGAGCUUGCUCUUACGGGUGGCGAGUGGCGGACGGGUGAGGAAUACAUCGGAAUCUACUUUUUCGUGGGGGAUAACGUAGGGAAACUUACGCUAAUACCGCAUACGACCUACGGGUGAAAGCAGGGGAUCUUCGGACCUUGCGCGAUUGAAUGAGCCGAUGUCGGAUUAGCUAGUUGGCGGGGUAAAGGCCCACCAAGGCGACGAUCCGUAGCUGGUCUGAGAGGAUGAUCAGCCACACUGGAACUGAGACACGGUCCAGACUCCUACGGGAGGCAGCAGUGGGGAAUAUUGGACAAUGGGCGUAAGCCUAAUCCAGCCAUACCGCGUGGGUGAAGAAGGCCUUCGGGUUGUAAAGCCCUUUUGUUGGGAAAGAAAAGCAGCAGGUUAAUACCCCGCUGUUCUGACGGUACCCAAAGAAUAAGCACCGGCUAACUUCGUG
rnacentral:rRNA from 1 species